rnacentral:rRNA from 1 species
GACGAACGCUGGCGGCGUGCUUAACACAUGCAAGUCGAACGGUAAGGCCCUUCGGGGUACACGAGUGGCGAACGGGUGAGUAACACGUGGGUGAUCUGCCCUGCACUUCGGGAUAAGCCUGGGAAACUGGGUCUAAUACCGGAUAGGACCCUGGGAUGCAUGUCCUGGGGUGGAAAGCUGUUGUGGUGGGGGAUGGGCCCGCGGCCUAUCAGCUUGUUGGUGGGGUGAUGGCCUACCAAGGCGACGACGGGUAGCCGGCCUGAGAGGGUGACCGGCCACACUGGGACUGAGAUACGGCCCAGACUCCUACGGGAGGCAGCAGUGGGGAAUAUUGCACAAUGGGCGCAAGCCUGAUGCAGCGACGCCGCGUGAGGGAUGACGGCCUUCGGGUUGUAAACCUCUUUCAGCACCGACGAAGCGCAAGUGACGGUAGGUGCAGAAGAAGGACCGGCCAACUACGUGCCAGCAGCCGCGGUAA